GGCCUCCCGAUGCUAACCACAGGCUGUGUGUUCUUUACACUAACUGUAUAGAAAGAGUAGGUACAGUAAAUGCUCCCCAUAUACACCUCAAACCAGGCCCUUUGCCUGGUCUGUAUUGUGAAUGGGGGGGGGACAAAA